GGGUAGAGCACUGUUUCGGCUAGGGGGCCAUCCCGGCUUACCAACCCGAUGCAAACUGCGAAUACCGGAGAAUGUUAUCACGGGAGACACACGGCGGGUGCUAACGUCCGUCGUGAAGAGGGAAACAACCCAGACCGCCAGCUAAGGUCCCAAAGUCAUGGUUAAGUGGGAAACGAUGUGGGAAGGCCCAGACAGCCAGGAUGUUGGCUUAGAAGCAGCCAUCAUUUAAAGAAAGCGUAAUAGCUCACUGGUCGAGUCGGCCUGCGCGGAAGAUGUAACGGGGCUAAACCAUGCACCGAAGCUGCGGCAGCGAACGUAUCACUUAAAACGAUUCAGAAGCUUACGAUUGACGGAGCGAAGCGACGUCAAAGCGUAUACAAAGUCGAGUCGGUUUAAGGAUACGUU
rnacentral:rRNA from 1 species